rnacentral:rRNA from 1 species
GAUGAACGCUGGCGGCGUGCCUAAUACAUGCAAGUCGAGCGAACGGACGAGAAGCUUGCCUCUCUGAUGUUAGCGGCGGACGGGUGAGUAACACGUGGAUAACCUACCUAUAAGACUGGGAUAACUUCGGGAAACCGGAGCUAAUACCGGAUAAUAUUUUGAACCGCAUGGUUCAAAAGUGAAAGACGGUCUUGCUGUCACUUAUAGAUGGAUCCGCGCUGCAUUAGCUAGUUGGUAAAGUAACGGCUUACCAAGGCAACGAUGCAUAGCCGACCUGAGAGGGUGAUCGGCCACACUGGAACUGAGACACGGUCCAGACUCCUACGGGAGGCAGCAGUAGGGAAUCUUCCGCAAUGGGCGAAAGCCUGACGGAGCAACGCCGCGUGAGUGAUGAAGGUCUUCGGAUCGUAAAACUCUGUUAUUAGGGAAGAACAUAUGUGUAAGUAACUGUGCACAUCUUGACGGUACCUAAUCAGAAAGCCACGGCUAACUACGUG